rnacentral:lncRNA from 1 species
CCGACUGGCGGAGGGCGCCCACGACGGUGGCCAGAUGAUCAAACACUUCGUCCGCUGCUUGUCCGUCAGACUCGUGUGCCCUCAGGGACGCGUGGUGUACUACCGACGCCCUGGGGGAGACGUAGCAUGCACCCACCAGGGUGCUAUCCCGACCUGUUUGCUUGGCGCCCAAACGCAACCAAAUAGACUCGCAGCCCGCAAUAUCCGUGUCAACCCUCAACAAAGUGACAUCCCG